rnacentral:rRNA from 1 species
GGGUAGUUUGACUGGGGCGGUCUCCUCCUAAAGAGUAACGGAGGAGCACGAAGGUUGGCUAAUCCUGGUCGGACAUCAGGAGGUUAGUGCAAUGGCAUAAGCCAGCUUGACUGCGAGCGUGACGGCGCGAGCAGGUGCGAAAGCAGGUCAUAGUGAUCCGGUGGUUCUGAAUGGAAGGGCCAUCGCUCAACGGAUAAAAGGUACUCCGGGGAUAACAGGCUGAUACCGCCCAAGAGUUCAUAUCGACGGCGGUGUUUGGCACCUCGAUGUCGGCUCAUCACAUCCUGGGGCUGAAGUAGGUCCCAAGGGUAUGGCUGUUCGCCAUUUAAAGUGGUACGCGAGCUGGGUUUAGAACGUCGUGAGACAGUUCGGUCCCUAUCUGCCGUGGGCGCUGGAGAACUGAGGGGGGCUGCUCCUAGUACGAGAGGACCGGAGUGGACGCAUCACUGGUGUUCGGGUUGUCAUGCCAAUGGCACUGCCCGGUAGCUAAAUGCGGA